UCCGGUUGAUCCUGCCGGACCCGACUGCUAUUUGGGUGAGAAUAAGCCAUGCGAGUCGAAUGGGAUACCUAAUCUUCCCAUGGCAAACUGCUCAGUAACACAUGAUCAACUUACCCUAUAGAGAGAAAUACCCUCGGGAAACUGAGGAUAAUGACUCAUAAUUGAAAAGGCUUGGAAAAGUUUUUCAAUUAAAGGAUGUGAUAAAUGGUUCCUAUCUGCUAUAGGAUAGGAUCGUGCUCGAUUAUGGUUGUUGGCGAGGUAAAGGCUCACCAAGCCGAUAAUCGAUAGGGGCCGUGAGAGCGGGAGCCCCGAGAUGGGUACUGAGACAACGACCCAGGCCUUACGAGGCGCAGCAGGCGCGAAACCUCAUCAAUACACGAAAGUGUGAAUGGGUUACCCAAAGUGUUCAAUCUUGAACUGUGGUAGGUGAGUAAUGUUCCCUACUAGAAAGGAGAGGGCAAGGCUGGUGCCAGCCGCCGCGGUAAAACCAGCUCUUCAAGUGGUCGGGAUAUUUAUUGGGCUUAAAGUGUCCGUAGCCGGUUUAACAAGUUCCUGGUAAAAUCGGGUAGCUUAACUAUCUGUAUGCUAGGAAUACUGUCAUACUAGAGGGCGGGAGAGGUCUGAGGUACUACAGGGGUAGGGGUGAAAUCUUAUAAUCCUUGUAGGACCCCCAGUGGCGAAGGCGUCAGACUGGAACGCGCCUGACGGUGGGGGACGAAAGCCAGGGGAGCGAACCGGAUUAGAUACCCGGGUAGUCCUGGCCGUAAACGAUGCAUACUAGGUGAUGGCAAGGCCAUGAGCCGUGUCAGUGCCGUAGGGAAACCGUUAAGUGUGCCGCCUGGGAAGUACGGUCGCAAGGCUAAAACUUAAAGGAAUUGGCGGGGGAGCACCACAAGGGGUGAAGCCUGCGGUU
rnacentral:rRNA from 1 species